GGUCAAGCUACAAAGGGCUCACGGCGGAUACCUUGGCACACAGAGGCGAUGAAGGACGUGGUUACCUGCGAUAAGUCUCGGGGAGCUGGAAGCACGCUUUGAUCCGGGAAUUUCCGAAUGGGGCAACCCUUAAUACGGCCAGCUGAAUCCAUAGGCUGGUGCGAGCCAA
rnacentral:rRNA from 1 species